rnacentral:rRNA from 1 species
ACGAACGCUGGCGGCGUGCUUAACACAUGCAAGUCGAGCGGUAAGGCCCUUUCGGGGGUACACGAGCGGCGAACGGGUGAGUAACACGUGGGUGACCUGCCCUCAGCUCUGGGAUAAGCCUGGGAAACUGGGUCUAAUACCGGAUAUGACUCCACGGUGCAUGUCGUGGGGUGGAAAGCCUUGUGCGGCUGAGGAUGGGCCCGCGGCCUAUCAGCUUGUUGGUGGGGUGAUGGCCUACCAAGGCGACGACGGGUAGCCGGCCUGAGAGGGCGACCGGCCACACUGGGACUGAGACACGGCCCAGACUCCUACGGGAGGCAGCAGUGGGGAAUCUUGCGCAAUGGGCGAAAGCCUGACGCAGCGACGCCGCGUGAGGGAUGACGGCCU